rnacentral:pre_miRNA from 1 species
AGUGGAAUUGCUGGGUUAUAUGGUAAGUGGUUAUUUAAUUUUAUAAGAAGCUGCUAAAUUGUUUAACCAAAUAGCUAUACCAUUUUGCAUUUCCACCAGCAAU